UACGUAGGGCGCAAGCGUUGUCCGGAAUUAUUGGGCGUAAAGAGCUCGUAGGCGGCCUGUCGCGUCUGCUGUGAAAUCCCGGGGCUCAACCCCGGGCGUGCAGUGGAUACGGGCUGGCUGGAGGCAGGCAGGGGAGAACGGAAUUCCCGGUGUAGCGGUGAAAUGCGCAGAUAUCGGGAGGAACACCGGUGGCGAAGGCGGUUCUCUGGGCCUUACCUGACGCUGAGGAGCGAAAGCGUGGGGAGCGAACAGG
rnacentral:rRNA from 1 species